rnacentral:rRNA from 1 species
CGUGGGUAACCUGCCCAAGAGAUCGGGAUAACACCUGGAAACAGAUGCUAAUACCGGAUAACAACAGAUGAUGCCUAUCAACUGUUUAAAAGAUGGUUCUGCUAUCACUCUUGGAUGGACCUGCGGUGCAUUAGUUAGUUGGUAGGGUAACGGCCUACCAAGGCGAUGAUGCAUAGCCGAGUUGAGAGACUGAUCGGCCACAUUGGGACUGAGACACGGCCCAAACUCCUACGGGAGGCAGCAGAG